rnacentral:tRNA from 1 species
GGGAGCUUAGCUCAGUUGGUUUAGAGCAUCUGCCCUACAAGCAGAGGGUCAUAGGUUCGACUCCUAUAGCUCCCACAA